rnacentral:rRNA from 1 species
CCUACGGGUGGCAGCAGUCGAGAAUCAUUCACAAUGGGGGAAACCCUGCUGGUGCGACGCCGCGUGGGGGAAUGAAGGCCUUCGGAUUGUAAACCCCUGUUAUGUGGGAGCAAAUUAAAAAGAUAGUACCACAAGAGGAAGAGACGGCUAACUCUGUUCCAGCAGCCGCGCUAAUACAGAGGUCUCAAGCGUUGUUCGGAAUCACUGGGCGUAAAGCGUGCGUAGGCUGUUUCGUAAGUCGUGUGUGAAAGGCGGGGGCUCAACCCGCGGACGGCACAUGAUACUGGGAGACUAGAGUAAAGGAGGGGGAACCGGAAUUCGCGGUGUAGCAGUGAAAUGCGUAGAUAUCGAGAGGAACACUCGUGGCGAAGGCGGGUUCCUGGACAUUAACUGACGCUGAGGCACGAAGGCCAGGGGAGCGAAAGGGAUUAGAUACCCCUGUAGUC